CGCGGCGUGGGAUGGGGUCGCGUCCUAUCAGCUUGUUGGCGGGGUGACGGCCUACCAAGGCUUCGACGGGUAGCCGGCCUGAGAGGGCGACCGGCCACAUUGGGACUGAGAUACGGCCCAGACUCCUACGGGAGGCAGCAGUGGGGAAUAUUGCACAAUGGGCGCAAGCCUGUAUGCAGCGACGCCGCGUGAGGGAUGGA
rnacentral:rRNA from 1 species